GAAUCUCACAUCUAUGCCCCUAAGAUUCUGCCUCAAACCUUCAAGAGCAUUGAGAUUCUGCAAGGAGAUGGAGGAGUUGGAAGCAUUAAGCAGACAAACUUCGCAGAUGGUAAGCUUGAUGAAUCAUGCAAUGUUAUUAGUAUUAUUUUGCAGAAUCAAAAUUUUUAGUUAAUAAUGGGUGUUUAUAUUGCAGGGUUUGGAGUGAAAUAUUUGAAGUACAAGAUUGACACAGUGGACAAGGAGAAUUUCAUAUUCAAUUAUACUGCAUUUGAAGGUGAACCAUGGCUAGAUACGCUUGAUAAAGUUGUAUACGAGACGAAAUUAGUAGCUACUCCUGAUGGAGGAUCCAUAACCAAGCUCAUUAGCAAGUACUAUCCAAAAGGUGAUGCUGAGGUUGACACUGACGUUAUCAAGAAAGGAGAAGACAAUGCCUUGGGAAUGUUCAAGGCUAUUGAAGCCCACAUCCUGGCAAAUCCUGACGUUUAAUUUCCUCUUAUUUUUCGGUUUAAUAUUUUUUUCUGCUUAGUAAUAAACGAGCCUGCAGUUUGUUGCGUUGAAUGAAUGGCUUGAAUUGUAUUGUCUUCGGGGUAAUUGAACUAAAAUUGAUAAAUAUAUUAAAAUUUUACUUAUUUCCUUUAUGGCGUACUAAUAGAUUUGUGAUGUAUGGAUAUGCAUUUCUUGAUUUUUGCAUCCUCAAUAUAUAUUUUGCUUCCUUACUUUUAGAUCCUAACUUCGUCCUAUACCAGUAAAAAAUAAGUUUGUUAUGGCAAAAUUUUCAUAAGAAAUUGAGUCAAGAAGCCUUUAUUUAUUUAGGAGUUUAAUGAUAAAAACCUGGAAAAUCCAGGAUUUUGCAAUGUGUUUACCAUUAUUUUUAAUUUAAAACAGUUCCAAUAAUCUAGAAAAUAAAAAACGAACAUCUAGAAGGUUUCUCGAUCGUGAAAUCACAGUGUCUUCAAUCUCUUCCUAAUAGCCUCGUAAUCCUAAAAAGAAAAUAAAACAAUAAAGAGUCUUAAAGACACAUUUAAAUUUAGCAAGUCACCUCUGUAAAAUUAAAGAUUAUAAAAAGUAUUUAUGGAUUUAAAAUAGUUAUAAAGUCUAAAAUCGAGAUUAGCCUCGUAAAAAAAUAGAAUAUUGAUUAUAAUUUAAAAAAAAAAAUAGAAUUCCACAUGUAACAUUGACUAAAUAAUAAAGGGCAGAGCUAAAAUUUAAAAGAAUGAGAGCAAAUUAAUAUAAAAUUUUAAUUAAAGAAAAAUUGCAUAAAGAUGGAAGGGCAAGAUGACUGAAGAUGGAAGGGCAAGAUGAUUGAAAGUGUUUCAUAAUUUUUUUAGCUUAAGGCUUAAACCUUGGUGUUAUCAAAGAAUUUAAAAAAAAAAAAAAAAAAACGAUCCAAUACAUAGUUUCGCCGCUCUUCAAUUUUAAAAAAUUCAUCCAAAUAAAAUUUUAACUUACAAAUUCAGAUAAAUAAUUUUUUGACUUACAAAUUCAGAUAAAAAUUCAUCCAAUAAACACUUUUAUAUUCCAAUUUUUUCUUUUCUUUUUAUAUAUAAUACUAUUUUUAUAAGUUAUAGCACUCAAUAUGGUAAUCUAUAUAGUAACUUUUAAAGGUUACGAGAUCAUUUUUGAAAUAUUAUCCCACUAAAUAUUUAUUAAUUGAUAAUUAUUUAACACUUGUACCUUUUACUUUUUUUUUUUUUUACAAGUUAACAAGCCUUACCUGUAAUAUAUAAAACUAAUUCUUUUUACUUUUUUUUUUUUCAUUUUAAACUUAGCAGCUAAUAUCAAACAAUUAGUUUUUACCAAACAAUUUUCUUUAAACCGCUAAGGAUAUAACUUAUUUAUAUAAUUUUCCUAUUAUAUUCAUAUUAAAUAAUACAUAAAUAAUUAUUAUAUUGGAAUAAUAAAUAAAAAUUAAUGUAAAUUAUUGAAAAUAAGAUAAAAUUUAAUUAAAAUAUAAUAGACAAUUUAAAAAUUAACUAUAAUGUAAAAAAAAAGACUAUAUUUUAAGGAAAAAAAAAAAGAGCUAUCUUUUGAGACCAAUGAGCAUUAGAACACCAAGAAUUGCGGGAUAAUCACUUGGGAGAAAGAAUACGAUUAUUUGAUGGCGAUGUUAGAUCUUAGAAGUAUUGACUUAUGACAUCAAUGGAGUCCACCGCAAGCUGCCACGCCCAUUCGUUGAUUGUCACAGUUUGAAAAUUUUUAUGGGUUGUUUGAUAAGUAUUAUUGACAAUUGACCUAAUAUUUUAAAGGUACAAUUCAAAUUCUAAUCGGGUUGAUCUAAAUAAAAAUAUUCAAAUUUUUUAAAUAAAAGGUCAAGUAUUUUAUUCUUGUGAACGAAAAAAAAAAAUAUAUUUAAAGUGUCUAACGCUGAGUGAGUAAGAUUAGAUUCACUCUAAUGAAUUGAAAAUAUCUGUAGUUGAACACCAAAGAGAUACCGUUGUUAAUUUUGUAAUUAUUAUUAAAUUAAACACCAUAAAAUUUAAAUUUAAAGCUAAGGAUCAAAUUCUUAGAAAAGUUAAUUUUUAAAUCUAAGGAAAAGUUUUUUUUUUUAUAUAUAAUUUUAAUUAUAUAAUGUCCAAAUCAUCCAAUAGAAUCAUAAAUUUUCUUUUAACCAUUACGCUUUUUAUUUAAAAAAUAUUGAUUAAUGACAAAGAAAGCAUAUUUUUUAUCAAUUCUAGCCAGUUUUUUUUUAAUUUUAUCAAUCAAUACCGCAUAUUUAGUUUUCUAUAUAAAUUCUAGCCUCCGUUUAUCUUCCGUCAAUUUCAUGCUAAUACGGCAAUUAUCUCUCACAAGUGGACCCUACAACAUCCAAUGUCAGCGCCAAGUCAUAUAUCUACAUAUAUUAAAAAAAGCUUGAACUUUAAGAAUUUUUAUCAAAGCUGGUCAAUUCUUUUAAUUUUAUCAAUUAAUAUCACGUAUUAAUUAAUCUCUAUCAAAUGAUUCGGUUAUAUUGAUGUUUAUUCAAUUAAAUAGUUUAUUAAUUAACUAUGUAUAUUAAGUGUCUAAUGGCAUUAAUCAAUUAGAAUUCAAUUUUACUACAUUUAAAAAUGUUAUCAAUUAGUAUAUUUAAAAAUAACAUUUUUAAAAGACUCUUCGGUAAAAUUGAAUUCUAAUUGAUUAAUCCCAUUAUAUACUUAAUAUAUAUAGUUAAUUAAUAAAUUAUUUAAUUGAAUAAAUAUCAAUAUAACAAAAUCAUUUAAUAGAGAUUAAUUAGUAUGCGGUAUUGAUUGAUAAAAUUAAAAGAACUGGGUAGAUUUGAUAAAAACCUUAAAGUUCAUACUUUUCUUAAUAUAUGUAUAUAUAUAACUUGUCGCUGACAUUGGAUGUUAUAGGGCUCACUUGUGAGAGAUAACUGUCACAUCAGCAUGAAAUUGACGGAAGACAAACGGAGAUUAUAAUUGAUAUAGAAAAUUAGGUACAUAAUAUUGAUUAAUAAAAUUAAAAGAACCGGCUAGAAUUGAUAAAAAUGUCGAAGUUCAGACUUUUUUUUAUCAUUAAGCCAAAAAUGUUUUAUAAUCUAUAAUAUCAAGUUAUAUCAUUUAUAUUAAAUUAAUUUAUAAAAUAAAAGUCAUCAUCCAUCAAUUUAUAAGACUCAUUUCAAUUCCAAACGUAGAGAAAAAAAAAGUCAUCCAUUAACUUGUUUGUCAGGUUGGAUGACCACAGAAAUAAAAAAGAUAUUUUUUAUAUAAUAUAUAAUACCACACAAGACUAGAAAAUUAGGACAUCAAAAUUGACCAUUAACUAACUAUUAAAGGCAGAUAUUAUCACAUCAUCUGUUUAUAUAUAUAUAUAUAUAUAUAUAUAUAGCUCUUUUUAAGGAUUUAUUAUAUAUGGGGAGACAAGCCCUCCCCUUAUUUCCACAUCUUCACCACUCUAUCUUCUACCUCAAUUCAGCCACAAUAUCUCCACAAAACUGGCAGGCCUGUAUUAUCUUUUGUCAAAAAAUGAAUGGUAUAUGAUUGGCUACAUAUUUGAUAAUCCGAUAAGAUUUGCCUAUUUAGUGUAUACUGAGAUAAUGUUAAUGUAAUUAAGAGAUUGAAUUUUUAUGGUUCCCUAAAGUAAGCUUUAUCAUAAUUGAUCAUUUAGGCUCCAUUUAUUUUUAGAAAAUAAUAGGUCUAGAACAUAUUUUUCAAAUUUUUAAGAGUGGGGCUCAAGAAAAUCAAUCAACGGAAAGUAUUUUCUUAGUAAAAAGAAAAAUGUAAUUUUUAUGAAAAAUGCUCGUUUUUAAGAGAGGAAAACAAUUUUGAAAUAUUGAUAAACUUAUUUAUAAUCUUAUAAAUGCAUAUUUUUAAUCACUAAUGGUCAUUACCGUCAGUCAUCAGUCACCAUCAUCCACCACUAUCGACCACCAAUCAUUGGUAACCACUUUUCACUACCAUCAACCAUGACCACCAUCGAUCCUCAACGACUAUCAUAAUUCAUAUUUUUUUAUGCAUUUUUUCAUAUUUAACAAUAAAUUUUUAAAAUAUAAAACUUCUAUAAUUGUAAAUAUUUUAUGGUCUUGUAAUUUAAAAAUUUUAAUAUUUUUAAACUAAUUUUUCAAUAUUGUAACAACAGCGGAAAAUUAAUUAUUUGAAAAAAUAUUUUUCAAACAUAAAUUAUUUUUAUGGUCUUUUUUUUCAUAAUUCAGUCAAUUUGGCUUUAAUUAACUCGUGAUUCCAAUCAAAAUCUAGCGUUACUACCACAAAACAAUUUGCUACAAAGUUAAAUGAGAAGUAAAGCAAUUUCCCUGGCAACUCUGUUAGAGAAAACCGCCAAAGUCUUCUACCGUCGACUUGAGGCAAGGUCUAGAAGGUACACAAUUCAAUGUCGAUAGACUGAACUGGACGGUUGGGAAAUUAAUUCUAUCCAUUAUUGCAUGCAUUCUUUGACCAUUUAAAUGCAAAUCCUUUUACAUCUAAUCUUGAAAGCUCAUUCCACCUAUAAAUACCAUCUUUAGCUCUUGCAUUUUGCCUCAGACACACUCCAAAUUAAGCUAUCUACUAGCUAAUAGAUCUUGUUCGUUGUUUAGAUAUUUUUCUUACUUAAAUCCUUAAAUACGGAAAAUGGGUGUUUUGACUUAUGAGUCUGAGGUUGUUAGUGCUGUCCCUGCAGCCAAGUUGUUCAAGGUUUUUCUGUUUGAAUCCCACAUCUAUGCCCCUAAGAUUCUGCCUCAAACCAUCAAGAACAUUGAGAUCCUUCAAGGUGAUGGAGGCGUUGGAACCAUUAAAAAAACCAACUUUGCAGAUGGUCAGUUUUAUUAUUCUUAUACUACAUGAUGGACACUUAUAACAAUUAAGCUAUUAGCAAAUCUUGAUCCUCUAUAAUUUGCACUGAUUAUAAUAAUUCUUGAUUCUCUGUUGCAGGGUUUGAAGUGAAAUACAUAAAGCACAAGAUUGAUGCAGUAGACAAGGACAAUUUCACAUUUAAGUACACAUCGUUUGAAGGUGAGCCAUGGCUAGAUACCCUUGAUAAAGUUGUAUAUGAGACGCAAGUAGUGCCUACCCCUGAUGGAGGAUCCGUCACCAAGUUCACCACCAACUACUCUCCAAAAGGUGAUGCUGAGCUUGACGUUAACAUUGUCAAGAGGGGAGAUGAUAAUGCCAUAGGAAUGUUCAAGGCUGUCGAAGCCUACCUCUUGGCAAAUCCUGAUGUUUAAACAAGAAAAUCAAACCCCACGCCAUUAUGGUGAUCUUGUGUGCUAUUUUCUUGUUCAGCUAAAAACCAGCAAUCUUGCUUCCCCUUUUUCUUUUCCUUUUCAUUGCCAAAAUUACUUUUGGCGCAGUUGUAAGGUUUGUAUUGUGUGUGUGGAUGGUUUAGAGCCAUCAACUCAUGAUGAAUAUAAUAAGACAUCCUUUCCUUCUUAAUUUUUAUUUUUAUUUUUUGCAUUUUAAUUUCGAAGUUUUUAGAGCAUUUAAGUUUCAAACCGUAUAUAUGCCAAGCAACAUAGCUUUAUGGUUAAUGGUUUGGCUAGCUAGCUAGCACAAGUGUUUAUUUUACAGUAUUAAAGUUUAUAUAUAUUUAUAAUCUUAAUCAUGAACUUUGCCAAACUCGAAUUUAAAAGUGGAGGUUAAAAUAAUAUAAAAUUUAAUUAAAUGAAAAUCUUAAAAAGGAUAAAGUUACAAGAUGGUUGAAAUCUUUUAUUGGACAAGAUUGGAACCUUAAUCUUGUUAAGAAAAAAAAUUGUUUUUCCUAAAAGAGAAGAGUGCAAUUAUCUCCUCUUAACAAUGUAGUUUCGUCAUUCAUCAUGAAGCUUAGAAUUUAUGAAUCAAGAUUGAUUCCACUAAAAAAUGUUUUAAAAUUUUUAAGAUAAUAUUUUGAAUAUAUUGUAUAUUCGUAAAACUUGAAAAAUACUUAUAUUGGAAAUAAAAACUGUAAUUCUACAUUCUAAAAAAAGAUGUAAUUCUAUAUACCAAAUAAAAAGACAAACCGAGAAAAUACUUGCCCAUAUUUGAAAAUACAACGUCAUCCUUGUGCGCAGUAGAUCGACAGGUAUAGUACUGCCUCAAGGACCGUUGAUGGUAUGUUUAGUUGGUAAAAUUUAUCUAGAAUCUAUCUACAAGACUCAUGCAUGAAUCAAACUAAUUACAAUAUAAAAUUUUAACUUUAUUGUUUUUUUAGUGAAUGGUUCAAAUUACUUUUAUUUUUUUAAAAAAAAAUAUAAUUUCAUUUCAUAAAUACAAGAUUGUAGGUUAGGUCUAAGUAAGUCAUACUCUCGUACUUGUGAUUCACAUAAGGUGCAUAGGUACGAUUGCACACGACCCAUUUCAAUUCGACUCAACCGGAGCAAUUUAAUUAAAUUUAACUUAAUUGACCAAUUUAAGAAUAUAAUAUGUUGGACCGGAUAAGUAACUAUAUGAUUCACACGGAUUUGGUACACUAGAUAAACCAAUAAAUCCGUCCCAAUCCGUAAACAGUAUCAAUUAUAUAUACACACACGGUAUACAUACAUAUAACUAUCGACUGUUUAAAUAAAUUUAUUUUAAUUUUUAAUUUUUAAUAUAAAUAUUAAAUUAUACUCAUGAAGAGUGAGAUGGGAUGACAGAGAUACAUUUUCCCUUAAUCAGAAGUCUCAAGUUUAAGCCUUGGGUAUGAAGUCCCUUUAAACACUUGUGAGGGAGCGGUUUACCCCCUUUUGUGAGCCUGUCCGGCGCGAAUCUAGAUUAGUCGAGUAAGUAGACUUUGGAUACCUGAUGAUUAAAUCAAAAAUAUAAAUAUUAAAUUAUUACAGUUUUUUUAGUAUAAACUUGUUUUGAAAUGUUACUAUUAGAACAUAUUAUAAUUUAAAACUGAUUGUAUAAUUAUUACUAACUAAUUUUGAUUUUGUUAGUUGAAGCAAUCUAAUUUCUCAUUAUUGCUGCUUAUUAUUAUUAUUAAGAAACUUAUUUUGAAAUGUUUUUAUAGGAAAAUGUUGUGGUUUAUGAAAAUUGUUGUAUAAGUAUGUUUCUAUUUAUAUUUAAUUUUGUUGGUUACCUUAUUCCUUUUAAAGUUAUUUUAUUAUUUACCAUUUAUUUUAUAUGUGGAUUUACAUUGAAUCCAAAUGCAAUUCAACCUCUUUUAUAAUUCAGGGGUUCACACAUUUAAUGGAUGUGGUUAAAAAGUGAUUAACCCAUAUAUGGAUUUAGUGCUUUAAAUAGAUAAACUUAACCCAAUCUGAUCCACGUGCAACCUAGACAUAGACCUCGGACUCUCCAAUUUUUUUUUUUUUUUUUUUAAUAUAAGCCUGGUUGCUAAUAUUUUAUAAAAAAAAAAUUUUUUUUAAAGUUAAUGCUUUACAAAAUAUAAUGGCUCCGGAUGCUAAUCAAUAUUUUGCAAACUUUUGAAUAUUUACAAAAGGUGGUUAUUUUUUAGUAGGUGUUUCUCAAAAUAAUAACUUAUGUUUGCCAAUAUUUUAAUAUUUUCAAAUAUUUUGCAAAAAAUGAUUAUUUUUGUAUAAAAAUUAAGGAAUUACAAAAUAAUAGCUCCUAUUUGUCAAUAUUUUUAUAAUACUUUCUAAUAUUUUACAAAAGGUAAUUUUUUUUAAAGAUGAAUAGUUUACAAAAAAAUAGUUCAAUUGUCAAUAUUUUGUUAUAAAAAUAUGGUAUAGAAGAUGAUUUUUUUUUAAUUAUCAGAUUAUAAAAUAUUACUCUAAUUGCCUUAUAAUUUGUAAUAUUUUUAAAUAUUUUAUAAAAAUAGUUUUUUUUUUUUUUUAACUCAGGUAAAAUUAAGUCAUGAUAGGAAUUAGGAGUCAUGCCCAUUCACUGAUGGUUACAAUUUUAAAACUCCGAUGGAUUGUUCCAUUAGCAGUUAUGGAGCUAGAAAUUAAAGUUAAGGGCUAAAAAGUUUUAAAAAAUUAAAGGAAAACGAAAUUGAAAAAAUUUAUUAGAGGGUAAAAUAAAAAAAAAUUUAAUAUUUUAUAUAUAAAUUCUUAAAAAAAAUUAUUAGGGGAGCAGGGCCACCCCUAGACCCCUAGCUCCAUCAAUGUUCAUUAGUAACAUUGACUAAAUAAUUGACUUAAUAUUUUAAAAGUAUAAGUUAAAUGCUUACAUCCAAUUAUUGCUGAAUUAAACUAUGAUUUCAUUCUAUCAUAAAAUUUAAUUUUUAAGUCUAACUAUCAAAUUUAUAUAUAAAAAAAGUUUGUUAUGUAUUUUUUAAUUAUAUUUUAAUGUCUAUAGAAUGGUCCACAUAUUUUUUAGCCAUUACGCUCUACUUAUUUAUUUAAAAAAUUAUUUUAUAUAAGUUUGUGCUUUCACUGUAAUACUAAUUAAGUUAUAUCAUAUAUUUUAAAUUAACUUAUAAAACAAAAGUCAUCAUCCAUCAAUUUAUAUAACUCGUUUCAAUUCCAAAAAAUAGAAAAACAAAGUCAUCCAUUAACUUGUUUCUUGGGUUGGAUGACCAUAGAAAUAAAAAAGAUAUCAUAUAAUUAGGAUUUCGGAGCACAUCAAAAUUGACUAUAUAUAUAUAUAUAUAUAUAUAUAUAUAUAUAUAUAUAGUAUAAUUUUUUAAAAUAUUAUUACUAGUUUAUAAUUUUUUUUUCAAAAAUACAUGCAUACGAAAUUAUUUUUAUUGAUUUAAUGUAUAAGUAAAUCUAUAUAGGGACAAUACGGAAGUCAUAAUCUAGAUGAUCAAUGGCAACUCUUAUUGGAUUACGCCGAAACAAUAAUAACAUAAUUAAGAGAGUGAAUAAUAUGUUACCUUUGCUUUAAGUAACCAUUUAUUAUAAUUUGAUCAUUUAACUUUUUUUUUUUUUCUAAAUAUGUCAAUUAGCCUUUAAUAUCAUUUUGCUAAAAGGUUAAAUGAGAAGUUAUGCAAUUUUCUUGUCAACUCUGUUAUAGAACACCGCCAAGUCUUUUACCAUCAACUUGUGACCAUGUCUAGAAGGUCCACAAUUCGUUUAUGGUAGACUGAACUGGACAGUCGGGAAAUUAAUUCUAUCCAUUGCAUGCAUUCUUUGACCUUAAAUGCAAAUCCUUCUACAUCUAAUCUUGAAGCUCAUUCCAUCGAUAUAAAUAACUUCCUCAGCUCUUGCAUUUUGCCACACACACUCCAUGUUAAGAUUACUAGCUAAUAUAUAGAUCUUGUUCAUUGUUUUAGAUAUUUUCUUUUCCAACUUAAGGGCUUAAUAUAAAACAUGGGUGUCUUGACUUAUGAGUCUGCGGUUGUUAGCGCUGUCCCUGCAGCCAAGUUGUUCAAGGUUUUUCUGUUUGAAUCUCACAUCUAUGCCCCUAAGAUUUUGCCUCAAACCAUCAAGAACAUUGAGAUCCUUCAAGGUGAUGGAGGCGUUGGAACCAUAAAAAAAACCAACUUUGCAGAUGG
rnacentral:lncRNA from 1 species